rnacentral:rRNA from 1 species
UUUGGAAAUCCGCAGUGAAUCAUGUUAUUUAAUUAGUCAUUCCGCUAAAAAUCUUACCUUUGCUUGUAAUUUAUUUUUAUAAAUCAGGUAUUGCAUGGCUGUCUUUAGUUAAUGUCGUAAGAUGAGGUUAAUUCCCAUAAAUUAACGAAACCCCUUUUAGAAUAAAUAUUUCUAAAGAUUAGUGAUAAACUAAUAUAAGGGACUAAGACAAGUCAAUAUGAUCCUAAUGUAAAGGGCUAUAGACGUGAUAUAAAAUUUAAUCCAAUCACUAUUAAAAAUGCAAAUUAAAAGAAUGGUGUAAUGGUUAGAAGAUUGUACAGAUUAAAGUCUGAAAUUUGACUUUAUGAAGUAGGAAUUGCGAGUAAUCACUAAUCAUAACGUAGUGGUGAAUUUUAUCUCCAAGAUGUACUAACUACUCGUCAAGCGUUGAAAGUACAAGUUUCUCGAAGAUUUUAUAAAAAAUGAAAUCGAAAGGUACUGUGCGA